ACCAACUGGGAUUACCUUAGUAACGGCGAGUGAAGCGGUAAAAGCUCAAAUUUGAAAUCUGGUACUUUCAGUGCCCGAGUUGUAAUUUGUAGAAUUUGUCUUUGAUUAGGUCCUUGUCUAUGUUCCUUGGAACAGGACGUCAUAGAGGGUGAGAAUCCCGUUUGGCGAGGAUACCUUUUCUCUGUAAGACUUUUUCGAAGAGUCGAGUUGUUUGGGAAUGCAGCUCAAAGUGGGUGGUAAAUUCCAUCUAAAGCUAAAUAUUGGCGAGAGACCGAUAGCGAACAAGUACAGUGAUGGAAAGAUGAAAAGAACUUUGAAAAGAGAGUGAAAAAGUACGUGAAAUUGUUGAAAGGGAAGGGCAUUUGAUCAGACAUGGUGUUUUUUGCAUGCACUCGCCUCUCGUGGGCUUGGGCCUCUCAAAAAUUUCACUGGGCCAACAUCAAUUCUGGCAGCAGGAUAAAUCAUUAAGAAUGUAGCUACUUCGGUAGUGUUAUAGCUUUUUGGAAUACUGUUAGCCGGGA
rnacentral:rRNA from 1 species